rnacentral:rRNA from 1 species
AACGAACGCUGGCGGCAUGCCUAACACAUGCAAGUCGAACGAGACCUUCGGGUCUAGUGGCGCACGGGUGCGUAACGCGUGGGAAUCUGCCCUUGGGUUCGGAAUAACAGUUGGAAACGACUGCUAAUACCGGAUGAUGACGUAAGUCCAAAGAUUUAUCGCCCAAGGAUGAGCCCGCGUAGGAUUAGCUAGUUGGUGAGGUAAAGGCUCACCAAGGCGACGAUCCUUAGCUGGUCCGAGAGGAUGAUCAGCCACACUGGGACUGAGACACGGCCCAGACUCCUACGGGAGGCAGCAGUGGGGAAUAUUGGACAAUGGGCGAAAGCCUGAUCCAGCAAUGCCGCGUGAGUGAUGAAGGCCUUAGGGUUGUAAAGCUCUUUUACCCGGGAUGAUAAUGACAGUACCGGGAGAAUAAGCUCCGGCUAACUCCGUG